rnacentral:rRNA from 1 species
AUGUAUAGAGAAAAAUUCACUACAGGUUCUCAUACUCGUCGCGUUGGCCGCAUUAGUCCUCGUACUUACAAGUACCCAAAAUACAGUUCUAGAACUUGUCUCAGGUGGUUAUCUACGGUCCAAAAUACGUUUUCUUCUACGUACAUGCUGAUUUGGCGGUUGAUUGGGGCGUCCACGCGGGCUUUGGCCGCCAGCUCAUCACCAGACGCCCCGGGCCGAUCGAUUCGGGGGAAUGCAGGGGGUGUUUCUGCAAAAUCACUGAAUUUACGUUCUGCCCAUUGCGCCGCCGCCGCCGUACGGCUGCUGCUGCUCCUCCCAUGCUGUCCCCGAGGACAUAGGCCUCUUCCGCACCUCGGGGCCGCCGACCUCAGCAACAACGCAUUCGACGGCGAGCACCCGGUCUCCAUGGCCUGCCUCGCCUCGCUCGUGCGCCUCUCCGCGUCCUCAAACCAGCUCUCCGGCGACGUGCCCUCGUGGCUUGGCGGUCUGACCGCGCUGCAGAGGCUGGACCUCUUCGACAACACGAUUACAGGCGCCCUGUCGGACUCGCUCGGUGACCCCAAGGACCGGCUCGCCUGCUCCGUCCCGGAGGCAAUGUCCGGCUGCACCUGA